CAUUUCUCUUUAAAUAUUUAAAGUAAAUAUAUAUAUUAAAACUUUAUUUAUAACCCACCCUAUCUCCCCAAGAGGACUCAGGGUGGUUUCCAACAAAAAAGAGCAAACAUUCAAUUCUGUCAUUAACUAAACAAAAUAAAUAGACAACCCAACCGAAACUCAGAAAUAAGUCCACAUCUAUAACAAAGUAAUAACAGAUUAUAACAUAAUGAAUCUACCAUGACACAUCUGACAUUAAAACAAAACACAAAUCUUACCUGACUUAAAAUAUAUUUAAAUUAUAAAAAAUAUUAAAAAUUUUAAGCAGCCAACAGAGCAAGGGUGCGAUGCCUAUUGUAAAAUGUAUUAUUCCUCAUUGUCAUCUAUAUUAGGAUAAUUUUCUCCUUUUGGACCCACAUUCUACACUCCAGCUUGUUAUCAGAAUUUCUCCUUCAAUAUCCUGAUUUUGCCAGAUAGAGUUGGAAAGGAUAUUUUUAAAUUUUUGAUUUAUGGUUAGAAAACUCAGUUUGUUUCUGCGUUGAGAAACACUGACAACAAUUCUGGACAAAUUAGAUUCUUCACCGAUUGAAACAUAUUCUGCUCAAAAUUCCCAGAAAUCAGAAGUAACAAUUAGGAAGUUUGUGUUCAAAAUCUAGCUUUAAAAACAGUCCUUACUAGAGGAAAAAGUGUAAACCUUUGCUCUUUAAAUCAGUUUUAUGAUUUUCUCACUCUCCUGCAAUUCACUUUGUGUUUGUUAUGAGAAAUACCAUCUGUAUUCUUACAUAUUUUCCCUCUUUAUUCUUCUGAUAAAUGAAAAUUGCUCACUUUGUGAUGGGAAUGUUUAUGGCAUGACUUUACAUAAGGAGGGAAGAUUAAAGUACCUACAUUUCGCCAAGUUCAAAUAUUUGUGUUUUUUGGGGGAGGAGAGCCAAGGUGUGUUGAGGGGUCAACUAACAUUUUCUCACUAAUGUUCAUUUUCCUUUUUGAAAAGCUUCCACUUCAGGACCCGCUACUGUAGCCCAAUGUGGUGGUACCAUGUCAAACCCCUCUGGAUAUUUCUCUGGGCCAUAUUAUUCUGGAAAUAACAUCACUGAACAGUGUGUCUGGGAAAUUACAGUGGAUCCCUUUCAUUACAUAGUUCUCCGGUUUUCUAUGAUUAGUCUGGACUGCAGUACAGAAUAUGUUGAGAUUCUUGAUGGAGGCUUGAACUCCCCUUUUGUACUUGGGAAAAUGUGCUCUGGGGUCUAUAGCAACUAUACCUAUACCUCAACUUCCAACACAAUGACCAUUCUACUGCACAGAGAUUCAGAUUUAUAUGGAUAUGGCUUUGGUGCUUAUUAUAAUUCUAUCCAAGAAACAUUAACAACUACAACUCUUCCAGUUCAGAAUGAAACUACUGG